rnacentral:rRNA from 1 species
GGCUUAGGCUGCCGCAGAUGGAUGAGCCUGCGUUGGAUUAGCUAGUUGGUGGGGUAAGGGCCUACCAAGGCUACGAUCCAUAGCUGAUUUGAGAGGAUGAUCAGCCACAUUGGGACUGAGACACGGCCCAAACUCCUACGGGAGGCAGCAGUGGGGAAUAUUGGACAAUGGGGGAAACCCUGAUCCAGCAAUGCCAUGUGUGUGAAGAAGGCUCUAGGGUUGUAAAGCACUUUAGUUGGGGAGGAAAGCCUAUGAGUUAAUAGCUUGUAGGAAGGACGUUACCCAAAGAAUAAGGACCGGCUAACUCCGUGCCAGCAGCCGCGGUAAUACGGGGGGUCCGAGCGUUAAUCGGAAUUACUGGGCGUAAAGGGUCUGUAGGUGGUUUGUUAAGUCAGAUGUGAAAGCCCAGGGCUCAACCUUGGAACUGCAUUUGAUACUGGCAAACUAGAGUAUGGUAGAGGAAUGGGGAAUUUCUGGUGUAGCGGUGAAAUGCGUAGAGAUCAGAAGGAACACCAAUGGCGAAGGCAACAUUCUGGACCAAUACUGACACUGAGGGACGAAAGCGUGGGGAUCAAACAGGAUUAGAUACCCUGGUAGUCCACGCUGUAAACGAUGAGUACUAGCUGUUGGAUUCGGUGUAAAGGAUCUAGUGGCGCAGCUAACGCGUUAAGUACUCCGCCUGGGGACUACGGCCGCAAGGCUAAAACUCAAAGGAAUUGACGGGGACCCGCACAAGCGGUGGAGCAUGUGGUUUAAUUCGAUGCAACGCGAAGAACCUUACCUGGUCUUGACAUCCUGCGAACUU